GACGGAGGGUGCUAGCGUUGUUCGGAAUUACGGGGCGUAAAGGGCGCGUAGGCGGCCUGGUCAGUCGGAUGUGAAAGCCCGGGGCUCAACCCCGGAACGGCAUCCGAGACGGCCAGGCUGGAGACCGGGAGAGGAGAGUGGAAUAGCCAGUGUAGAGGUGAAAUUCGUAGAUAUUGGCUGGAACACCAGUGGCGAAGGCGGCUCACUGGCCCGAUACUGACGCUGAGGCACGAAAGCGUGGGGAGCAAACAGG
rnacentral:rRNA from 1 species